rnacentral:misc_RNA from 1 species
UAUUCUGAAGCAGGAAUUUCUCAAUUUUCUUUUUAAUUUAAGCACUUGAUUUGUUCAAAUUAAUUCGCUUACUCAAAUGAAUACUUUGUGGGUUAAUGGAAUUAGUGAUAAAAUUCACUUAAGAUUGGUUUCUUGUCAAUUUUUAUACUGAGAACUACCCCGAUUGCACAGCUAGUGCACUACUUCUCCUCUCUUUCUCGUUCUGUUGCUCUGAUCUCAAGUCCAAAUACAAAUUCAAAUCCAAGUGUACUUGGGUGUAUCUAACCC